UACGUAGGUGACAAGCGUUGUCCGGAUUUACUGGGCGUAAAGAGCGCGCAGGCGGUCGUUCAAGUCGAGUGUGAAAGCCCCCGGCUCAACUGGGGAGGGUCAUUCGAUACUGAUCGACUGGAAGGCAGGAGAGGGAAGCGGAAUUCCCGGUGUAGUGGUGAAAUGCGUAGAUAUCGUAAGGAAGACCAGUGGCGAAGGCGAAUCUCUGGACAGUUACUGACACUGAGGCACGAAGGCCAGGGGAGCAAACGGG
rnacentral:rRNA from 1 species